AGCGAACGCUGGCGGCAGGCCUAACACAUGCAAGUCGAACGAACCUUUCGGGGUUAGUGGCGGACGGGUGAGUAACACGCGGGAACGUGCCCUUAGGUUCGGAAUAACUCAGGGAAACUUGUGCUAAUACCGAAUGUGCCCUCCGGGGGAAAGAUUUAUCGCCUUUAGAGCGGCCCGCGUCUGAUUAGCUAGUUGGUUGAGGUAAUGGCUCACCAAGGCGACGAUCAGUAGCUGGUCUGAGAGGAUGAUCAGCCACAUUGGGACUGAGACACGGCCCAAACUCCUACGGGAGGCAGCAGUGGGGAAUCUUGCGCAAUGGGCGAAAGCCUGACGCAGCCAUGCCGCGUGAAUGAUGAAGGUCUUAGGAUUGUAAAGUUCUUUCACCGGGGACGAUAAUGACGGUACCCGGAGAAGAAGCCCCGGCUAACUUCGUG
rnacentral:rRNA from 1 species